rnacentral:rRNA from 1 species
UACGGGGGGGCAAGCGUUGUUCGGAAUUACUGGGCGUAAAGGGCUCGUAGGCGGCCAACUAAGUCGGAUGUGAAAUCCCCAAGCUUAACUUGGGAACUGCAUCCGAUACUGGAUGGCUUGAAUCCGGGAGAGGGAUGCAGAAUUCCAGGUGUAGCGGUGAAAUGCGUAGAUAUCAGGAGGAAUACCGGUGGUGCAGACGGCUCUCUGGACCGCAACUGACGCUGAGACACGAAAGCGUGGGGAGCGAACAGG